UGAGGGAAAAUUCCCCUUUUCUCUGCAUCCCAUUGGCUGGCCUAUGACUCCCAAAGACUUUAUUAUGCUCCCCCCGUCUCUCUCCGAACCGCUCCCACCGCUCAGUCCUUACGUUCAUCAGAAGAGACAGUGUCCGGCCCCGAGCUGAGUCUGUCCAGAAGAAUUUCUGGCCCUCCGACAAAUGCGGUUGGUGACCCCUGUCCUCCACUUUGGAGGACUUUUAGAGUUUCUUGGAGAUGAUCUUGCACUAAGGCAGUGUUCUUCCAACCAUGGGAUCCGGUCACCGCACGGGGACGCCUGGAAUUUGAAUGGGGUCGGCCAGGAAUCCUCGGGCCCAUCAGCAGAUUUUCCGCAGCCUUAACACCUCUGCCAGGCAGCACCCACAAUCAACUGCUCUUCCUGGGGCUACAAACAAGGCAAGACACAUCAGAGAGCAACUACAAUCGACUCCGACUCACCAGGAGCUGCACAGCCGGCAGUCAAAGUCAAAGGCUCACUGACUGCUGGGAUUGGCUUCAGCUCCCGCCACACUGUGAAAAGGAUUAGGUGAUACAAAAUGCAUGGACGAAGGAAAUCUCUUCAGCAGGUAAUUAGUGUUUUCACAUUUUAUUGUUCAAAACAUUUCCCAGUCCUGUGAUUCCCUUGUAGCAGGUUAGAGGAAAAAGAUAUUCUUAAGUACUGUAUGUUAUGAAAUAUGUUUUGUGACAUUUUAGCAUUUUUCUCUUUUUAGUUUUAUUGUUGCUGUUUUUGCUACAAUUAACUACUUUGUUCAUUUUCUUAUGUUUUAUAUGCUACACUAAUUUUAGUUAAGUCGAGCUAACUCUUACUUUUACCAAAUAACAUAUAUUUUCCUUCACUUUUAUUGAAAAGAGCAUAUUUUAAACAAUUUGAAAUGUGUAAUUUCAGCCGUUCUGCCUUUAGUACCACAUAAUUACUCUAGGAUGAUAGAAAAAUUAAGAAAAAAUUGUUUCAUGAGAUUAGCUUUAAGGCUACCUGUCGACCAUUUGCAGUUUAAUCCUGGGUCACGAUGAUGAUUGUUUUAUUGUUGCUGUUUUUGUUGCUGUUUUUGCUACAAUUAACUACUUUGUUCAUUUUCUUAUGUUUUAUAUGCUACACUAAUUUUAGUUAAGUCGAGCUAACUCUUACUUUUACCAAAUAACAUAUAUUUUCCUUCACUUUUAUUGAAAAGAGCAUAUUUUAAACAAUUUGAAAUGUGUAAUUUCAGCCGUUCUGCCUUUAGUACCACAUAAUUACUCUAGGAUGAUAGAAAAAUUAAGAAAAAAUUGUUUCAUGAGAUUAGCUUUAAGGCUACCUGUCGACCAUUUGCAGUUUAAUCCUGGGUCACGAUGAUGACCCUGAAAGGCUAAGAGCUCGGUGCGGCGUGAAAGUGUUCAGUACCAGUUCUUCCUGGUGAUUUUAUUGUCUCGACCGUGAUGUCAUGGAUGAUACAUCUUCAGACGGUCAUACGCGGCCUGGGCAUGACCCCGUGCUGCGUUGUAUAACCAGGGUUUUUAUUAGAAUGCAGGAGCUCACCGCCAAUAGAAAACAAACAGUCUUUAUUUGUUUCCUGUAACACACUGAAGCCGACGUGUGACUACAUGUGCAGUAUAUAGUGUUUUAAUUUGCUACUAUAGCUUGUAGCCGGGGCCUCUCCAGUUGCCUGCAGACACUCAUGAAUGUCAGACUUUUUUUUUCUUUUUCAUUUUACACUGAUGCAACAGCAUUUUAUGACCCUCCUCUUCAUCUUCCCAGUUCUCAUGAAUCUGGCCCUGAUCCUCUUCUCAACUCCAGACAGAUGAUGUGCAGUCGCAGGCUGUGCACUUCCCUCAUAUGUCUCGUCCUCCCACUAUCCCUUUCCUGUGCUCCAUCUUUCAGAACUGUAACCUACAGUUGCCAGCUGUGCAGGGAGCCCCAGAGUGUAUUUAUGGAAAGCUGUGCUUUAUCACAUACAGCCGUGCAGCUGCCUACUCUUCUGGUAGUGCAGCCUUCCUGCCUCUGGCCAUGUUUUUUUUUUUUUUGCUUUGGUGGUGGUUAGAUCCCGCUCUGCUGCUGUUUCUUUCUCCCCAGCUGCUGCCCUGCUGGAAAGGAGGUGGGGUGAACUGUUAAUGGCCUGUAGUCUGCAACCAGCAGUGCCCGCCACCGCCAUUAGGACAGCGUACACAACCCCUUCUAGUGAAAACACCUUAACAAAAAACAACCGUUCAGAGUUUCAAUGCUCCUCCAAGCAUCUGCUAAAGCAAUCACGUAUGAUUGUGGGUGUAUUUCUCCGCGCCGGCCUCUUGUUGAUAUUUUGAUGUGGUGUUAAUUUAUCUCCCUCAUGUUUGGCUAGGUAUGAGAGCGUAAAUCUGUCGUCGACUGCAGGGGGCCUGGUGAUGAGCUGCCUCCUCCUUUGCUGACCUCUUGUCCCCAGGUGGUCAGGGUGAAAUACAUUCUUCAUAUAGGGGUCCCCUGUGUCCUCACAGCCAAUUGGGAUGGAGGGCUCUACACUCCCUUUCCCCCGCUUGGCAUAUCAGGGGCCAUACAUCUUCUAGUGGCGCGGAGCUUUACGUAAGGUGACAGCUCCUCACACUUCAGUGUUCGGCUCACCUCGAGUCGCUCAGAUAUGUGGAAUAAAAUGAGCCCGCCGUGGUGAUCGGAUGAAGGUGGACCGAGUGUCCGCGGGCCGCCGCGCCCCAUCCUCUCAUCUUGUCAGAACAGGCCUGCUGGUAACUCUCCACACAAGACAGAGUCUGGAGACGCAUCAGAAAGGAAAGCUGGCUGCAGACAGGAGGAGGAGGUGAGGGGGGGCUUUGAUGCCAUCGGAGGUGAUGUCAACUUUGCUUAGACUCAAGGGUGGUGUUUGAAUAUGCCGGCCACUAAUAUGGCACCGGUAUCUCUGUCCUCAUCUCUGUCUUCUGUCUUCAUGUACAACGUGGGCUGCUCUCCCCGGCUCCUGACAGCAUCCUUUCACAUCGUGUUAUUGCAUACACUGAGGCGCAGUCCGCAAACCAUCACUCAGCUUUUUUGUUUGAAAGUCAGGCUGCUGUUUGCUGUUAAUGCACUCGCCGCCUGUAUUAAAGUGAUGGGAAUAUGCUAUCUGCUUUCCUGUCAGGAAAUCAUUGGCAGUGGAACUGGAAUAUCACUCACAUGCUCGCUUUUUAUACCGCCCAAAGCGGCAGUGAAAGACACGAUAUGACAAGUGGGAUAUUGCAGUGCGUAGACUUCAAAUGCUGACAGAACCUGCUGCCUUCAACAACUCUUAGGAGUCUAGACUGUGUCUCUACUUUCUGUACAGAAGCAAAAGGUAUGUAUUUGUCUGUCUAAGGCAGAAAUACACUUUUAAUGGACACUACAUUGACCAUAGGUACAAGUGUGAGUGUGAUUUUUUUUUUUUUUUGGCAAACCGUCCAAUGUGCACCUUGACCUCACGCAGUCACUGCUGUGAUUGGUUGAAUCUCCUCUUGCAACCCUACGAAGAAUUGAGCAGUAGAAGAUGAAUGGAUUCCCAUUGCUCUAACUCAGCAGAACGAUCAGGACCCUUCUGUAUCCCCACUGUUUGAACACUGUACUGAAUUCCGCGGCGAUGUGUUAAAACUCUCCUUCGAUUUAUUUGCUUGGUUGUCCACGGUGACUAAAAUCAGCCAUCACUUUAAAGGCACAGAGCAAUAAGACACGGCCCUGCAGUGUCUUCGGCUGACUCUUCUGCCCCUGUCAAGUCCCCCUUCAGUCUGGAAGUCUGAGCAGUCGUGUUGAGGUUGACAUGAUUGCCUUUAAGCAGCCCCUCUUAGCCAGUGACACACAGCUGCAGUCAGGCACCUCCUCUGACAGUAAGAGCACCAUGAUGGAUUGCCUUGCCAAAACUGCUGAUCAAAGAAGGUCGGAGUUCAGAUGUGUGUCUCGCUGCACUGGGCAUGAGCAAUCACCAGAGGUGAGGCUUUUUUUUU